rnacentral:rRNA from 1 species
AGAGUUUGAUCAUGGCUCAGAACGAACGCUGGCGGCGUGGAUAAGACAUGCAAGUCGAGCGCUGAUUACGAGGUAGCAAUAUUUCGUAGUCGGAGCGGCGCAAGGGUGCGUAACACGUGGGUAAUCUGCCAUGAAGUUUGGGAUAACUUGCUGAAAGGCGAGCUAAUACCGGAUGUGAUGAUCGGAGGGCAUCUUUCGAUCUUCAAAGCUGGGGACCGUAAGGCCUGGCGCUUCAUGAUGAGCCCGCGGCCUAUCAGCUAGUUGGUGAGGUAACGGCUCACCAAGGCUAAGACGGGUAGCUGGUCUGAGAGGACGACCAGCCACACUGGAACUGAGACACGGUCCAGACACCUACGGGUGGCAGCAGUCGAGAAUUUUUCACAAUGGGCGCAAGCCUGAUGGGAGCGACGCCGCGUGGGGGAUGAAUGGCUUCGGCCCGUAAACCCCUGUCAUUUGCGAACAAGUUGGUUCAAUUAAUACCUGAACCAUUGAUAGUAGCGAAAGAGGAAGGGACGGCUAACUCUGUGCCAGCAGCCGCGGUAAUACAGAGGUCCCGAGCGUUGUUCGGAUUCACUGGGCGUAAAGGGUGCGUAGGUGGUGAGGUAAGUCGGAUGUGAAAGCUCGGAGCUCAACUCCGAAAUGGCAUUGGAAACUACCUUGCUCGAGGGUUUGAGGGGGGACUGGAAUACUUGGUGUAGCAGUGAAAUGCGUAGAUAUCAAGUGGAACACCAGUGGCGAAGGCGAGUCCCUGGAAAACUCCUGACACUGAGGCACGAAAGCCAGGGGAGCAAACAGGAUUAGAUACCCUAGUAGUCC